AUGACUGACGCUGAGGGACGAAAGCGUCGGGAAUCGAAAGGGAUUAGAUACCCCUGUAGUCCACGCCGUAAACUUUGUGCACUCGCUAUUGUCGGAUUCGACCCCGUCAGUGGCCAAGCUAACGCGAUAAGUGCACCGCCUGAGGACUACGGCCGCAAGGCUAAAACUCAAAGGAAUUGACGGGUCCCCGCACAAGCGGCGGAGCAUGUGGCUUAAUUCGAUGCAACGCGAAGAACCUUACCGGGUCUUGACAUGUAGCGGACCGGGGCAGAGAUGCCCCUUCUCUUCGGAGCCGCUUCACAGGUGCUGCAUGGCUGUCGUCAGCUCGUGUCGUGAGAUGUUCGGUUAAGUCCGUCAACGAGCGCAACCCCUGUCCUUAGUUGCCAGCAUUCAGUUGGGGACUCUAAGGAGACAAUCCCGCUUUUGCGGGAGGGAAGGUGGGGAUGAUGUCAAGUCAGUAUGGCCCUUACGGCCUGGGCUGCACACGUGCUACAAUGCCCGGUACAAUAGGUCGCUACUCCGCGAGGAGAUGCUAAUCCAGAAAGCCGGGCCCAGUUCGGAUUGGAGUCUGCAACUCGACUCCAUGAAGUCGGAAUCGCUAGUAAUGGCGCAUCAGCAAUGGCGCCGUGAAUACGUUCCCGGGGAUUGUACACACCGCCCGUCACAUCAUGAAGCCGGUUUCGCCCGAAGUACGUGCAGCCAACCUUCGUGGAGGCAGCGUCCGACGGUGAGGC
rnacentral:rRNA from 1 species